UUGGAUGAUGUUUGAUGAGUAUUUAUGUUGUGGUAGACAUUUCUACCUUGUCUCUUUGUGGUUCAUGUUCCUUUCAUGGCUAAAGUAAACUGAAUUUGGGAAAAACGUGAUUUUGAGUGAGAUUUAGGACCAUUUUUCAAUCCUUUCUAAUUUCCAUCUGUGUCUGAGUCCUUCAUAAAAGUUGUAGGUCUAUCUCUUAGCUUUCCAACCCAUCCUCUUGUGUCCAAUUUGGAGAUAUAUAACUCAACUUAUGGCUAAAACACCCAUACUGACUCUGUUUGUGUCGGGC
rnacentral:lncRNA from 1 species